rnacentral:lncRNA from 10 species
GCCAGGCACAGUGGCUCACACCUGUAAUCCCAGCGCUUUGGGAGGACAAGACCGGCAGAUCACUUGAGGUUGGGAGUUUGAGACCAGCCUGGCCAACAUGGUGAAACCCUGUCUCUACAAAAAUACAAAAAUUAACCAGGCAUCGUGGCACACAACUGUAAUCCCAGCUACUUGGGAGGCUGAGGCAGGAGAAUCACUUGAACCUGGGAGGCAGAGGUUGCAGUGAGCCAAGAUCGCACCACUGCACUCUAGCCUGGUGACGAGCAAGACUCAAGAUGAGUGGAAUUAACAUUCCCCAAGGCAGCCAUGAACAGAAAGCUUUCCCAGAUGAAUCGCCCAUCAGUGGCAGAUGCCACGCCAAGUCCCAGCGGUGCAGUCGGGCCUGCAACCACUGCUCAUGACUCAGCACCUUGGACAGAAGAGCUGAGGCUCUGGCCCCAGGCGCCCAGGCCAGCACUAGCCACUCACUCUUUCCGAGCCCAAGGAACCAUAAAAAGGUGAGCAGCAUCUUCAUACCAAUUUUACAGAUAAGACAAUAGAGGCUCCAAGAAGUUAUGAAAUGUAUUCAAGAUCAUUCAUCUAGCCAAUUGUACAACAGAAUUUAAAUCCAGAUUUCAUGGCCUGUACUCUUACCUACUACUCCAUGUUGGCUCUCUUACAGCCAUUUAUGUAGAUUCCAACUAUCGUGUAACUGUGAAUUAAUCUAAUGAAGCAUUUAAAAAUAAAUAUUUUAAAAUUUAAAAAGUAAUUUUAUGUUUGUUGUAGAAAGUUCAGAAAACUUAGAAAAGCA